UGUUGCUUAACUUUUUGCUGCACCGACAUAGUCAUUAUGCCAAAGAGAAAGUCUCCAGAGAAUACAGAGGGCAAAGAUGGAUCCAAAGUAACUAAACAGGAGCCCACAAGAUGAUCUGCCAGAUUAUCAGCAAAACCUGCUCCACCAAAACCCAAACCUAAACCAAGAAAAACAUCUGCUAAGAAACAACCUAGAACAAAGCUUAACAGAGGUGCUAAAGGGAAGAAGGAGGAAAAGCAGGAAGCUGGAAAGGCAGGCACAGAAAACUGAAUCUAUAGAUAACAAGGGAGAAUGAAUUGUCGUGAAAAAUUGGGGUUGAUUUUAUGUAUCUCUUGGGACAACUUUUAAAAGCUAUUUUUACCAAGUAUUUUGUAAAUGCUAAUUUUUUAGGACUCUACUAGUUGGCAUAGAAAUAUAUAUAAAGAUGGACGUUUUACCCUCUCAUAGUCAUGCUUUUUGGAAAUUUCCAUCAUCCUCCAACAAAAUAAAUAUCAAUUUAAUAUUG